ACGGUCGUAUCAUGCUAAAUAUACCGGUUCUCGUUAGAUUACCGAAGUCAAGCAUCAUUGGGCGCGGUCAGUACUUGGGUGGGUGACCACCUGGAAACACC
rnacentral:rRNA from 1 species